UUGACAAAAAAGUAAAGUUUUAUUAAAAAAAUUACAUUCGCUUGGAUCCGCAAGGACCGGGACGAAAGG
rfam:Smithella sp. SDB scaffold-1414, whole genome shotgun sequence.